AUUAGCCCGCCGCUAAACCUCCCCUGAGCAGUACCAGCGUGCUUUAAACUCAAAGAAUUUGGCGGCACCCCCACCUGUUAGAGGAGCCUGCCCCGUAACCGACGACCCACGAUAGCCCGACCCUCGUUAAAAGCUUGUAUACCGCCGUCCAGGGCGUGCUCGUAAGCACGCCCGUAAUAGCCUUACGCUAGCAAAUCAGGUCUAGGUGCAGCCGACGCGAGGGUGGCGGUGGGCUACACUGCGCGAGCCGCGGACCGUCUCCCGACCAGGACGCGAAGCAGGAUUUAACAGUACGUGCCUGACUACCGCGCCCCGACCAGGUGCCGG
rnacentral:rRNA from 1 species